rnacentral:rRNA from 1 species
GAUGAACGCUGGCGGCGUGCCUAACACAUGCAAGUCGAACGGAGUUAUUAUUAUGAAGUCUUCGGAUGGAUUAAUAAUAACUUAGUGGCGGACGGGUGAGUAACGCGUGGGUAACCUGCCUCAUACAGGGGGAUAACAGUUGGAAACGACUGCUAAAACCGCAUAACACUGCACCAUCGCAUGGUGGAGCAGUUAAAUAUUUAUAGGUAUGAGAUGGGCCCGCGUCUGAUUAGCUAGUUGGUGAGGUAAUGGCUCACCAAGGCGACGAUCAGUAGCCGGCUUGAGAGAGUGACCGGCCACAUUGGGACUGAGACACGGCCCAAACUCCUACGGGAGGCAGCAGUGGGGAAUAUUGCACAAUGGGGGAAACCCUGAUGCAGCGACGCCGCGUGAGUGAAGAAGUAUUUCGGUAUGUAAAGCUCUAUCAGCAGGGAAGAAAAUGACGGUACCUGACUAAGAAGCCCCGGCUAACUACGUGCCAGCAGCCGCGGUAAAAC